GACAAUUUAUUGAAACAUCCAUCCAUCCAUUUUCUUAGCCGCUUAUCCUCACUAGGUUCACAGGAGUGCUGGAGCCUAUCCCAGCUGAGAGAACAUGCAAACUCCACACAGGCGGAUCCGGGAUUGAACCCGGGACCUCAGAAUUGUGAGACCAACGCUUUCCAGCUGAGGCCACCGUCCCACCCUUUCAUUGAAGCACCAGAGGAUAAAGAAUCUGCGAAGAUUGAAAAAAUAAAUGUGAGCGGAGAGCGCGUCAUCCAUGCGCCAAGUUGCGGAAGUGUCAUUCGACAUCCAAGUGGUCGCCAUAUUGGCUGCAUCUUCUGUCUGUGACAUCACACUGGGACAUUCGCCAUUGAAAACACGCUGUGGCCACUACUGGGGGAGACGAACACGUCCCUUCUGACACGGAAGCUCUUUUCAAAGGAGAGAACAUCUCACAGCCGAGUUAAGUUACCGGGGCAAUAUUACCCUAUUGUUUCUAGCCAUAUUUAGAUGAUAUGCGGCUCACUUCUAACUAACAACAGACUCCCAGACAGUAUGUAUGAGCCAGCUCGGCCGAAGCCGUGCUUGUCCGCGAGGCACGACGCAGAAGCCAUCGCCGAGAAUGCGUGCGUGAACUCCCGUCCUUGUGGUGACCCUGCAGAGCCCGGACCCUUCCUCCCCGCCUCUCCGUGAUCAAUCAUGCUGUCUGCUUAGCCAAAGAAAACCCAUUACGCUGGAGCAGCACAACAUGUGAGCAGUAAGCUAUCUGAUGGUCCAGGAGGGGAAAGAUAAGGUCCAACAGGCAGGACCGUAUGAGUGACUCCUAGCAGCUAAACGCCAAUCGCAGGCACUCAAAAAGAGGGAAGGUUAUCUGCGGGUGUGCAAUCACAGAAACAUUUAGCGG